rnacentral:rRNA from 1 species
GAAUGCCUAAGGGUUCCAUAGAAAAAUUAAAUUGCUAUGGGUUAAACGGUCUCUAAGAAUAUAAGCGAAAGCUUUGAUUGAUGAGGAAUUUAUUAUAAAUAUAUUUAAUAAAAAAUAAAUUUAUUAAAACUAAUUGAUUUAUUUUUUUUAUUUAUACAGGAAAAAAUAAUAUAAAAUAUACCGUACUCUAAACCGACACUGGUAGGCAGGUAGAAUAUACUAAGGUGUUGAGAGAACUCUCCUGAAGGAACUAGGCAAAAUAACUCUGUAAUUUCGAAAGAAAGAGUGGCUAUUAAAUUAUAUUUAAUAGCUGGCACAUAAAUGUGAGGUACGACUGUUUACUAAAAACACAGCACUUUGCUAACAUAAAAAUGGAUGUAUAAAGUGUGAUACCUGCUCAAUGCCAAACGUAUAAAAUUUUUGGUUUUACGAUCAAAAAUUAAACAUUGGUCAAUAGCGGCUGUAACUAUGACAGUCCUAAGGUAGCGAAAUACCUAGUCGGAUAAUUGCCGACGUGCAUGAAUGGUUUAACGAUACUUCAACUGUCUCCAGGAGAGACUCAGUGAAAUUGAAUUAACCGUGAUGAUGCGGUUUACCUACAGCUAGACACGAAGACCCUAUGAAGCUUUACUGUAGUUAAUUAUUGUUAAUUUUUUAUUAAGAUACAGCAAUAAGGUAGUUGAUUAAACAAAACUGAGAGCCCUUAACUUAAUAUAAAAUUAACUAAGAUAGUAUUUAAUCUUUAUAUAACUUUUCCUUGUGCCGUUAGGUAAAGAUCUUAAAAAUCUUUGAUUUUUAGGUUCUUAUAAGUAGAAAUAUAUAAAGUUUAUUGAAUAUUCUUCCUUGAUAAAAUCAAGGACCUGGAAAAUUUUAUAAAUAAUAUUAUUUAUAAAGGUUCCCCAAAGGGAAAAUGAUUAAUUGGCAGUUUACCUGGGGCGGGAUUCUCAUAAAUAGUAUCUGAGAAGUACAAAGGUUUGUUUAAAUUGGAUGGAAACCAAUGGGUUUAUGAUAACCUAAUAAAGCGUAAUGGUAUAAACAAGCUUAACUGUAAGACAAAAAAGUCGAACAGACGCGUAAGCGGGUCAUAGUGAUCCGAUAGUUUCAUUAUGGAAUGGCUAUCGCACAACUGAUAAAAGUUACUCUAGGGAUAACAGGCUAGUCACUGACGAGAGUCCAUAUUGACUCAGUGGUCCGGCACCUCGAUGUCGACUCAUCUUUUCCUGGGGGUUGUAGUUGCUCCCAAGGGUUCGACUGUUCGUCGAGUAAAAAGGUACGUGAGUUGGGUUUAAUACGAUGUGAAUCAGUAUUGAUUAUAUCUACUGUAGGAAUUAGAAUAAGAAUGGCAGUUUAUCUUAGUACGCAAGGACCAGAUUAAGUGCACCUAUGGUUUACCAGUUGUAUAACAUUUGAAUAAAUGAAUGCAUGGCUGGAAAGCUAUGUGCAUAAAUGAUAACUACUGAAAGCAUAUAAGUAGGAAACAGAGCUAUGAAUUAUUCUUUUCCUUUCAUCUUUUGGAUGUAAAGGAAGUAAAAUUAGCAAUAGACUAUUGCUUUGAUAGGCUACCUAAUUAUCUUUAAAAAGAUAAGGGAUAAUUAAUUAAAAAUUAAUUAAGAGGUGUAAGAAUAGUAAUAUUUUAAGCCAUCUAGUACUAAUGAUUGAAAAUCUUGAAAAU